AGUUUUAUAAUGUAAAUAAACAUAUUAUAUUUUCAUUAUAAAUCUGAACAACUUUCGUUCUAAAACUU
rnacentral:tRNA from 1 species